GACGUAGGGUGCGAGCGUUGUCCGGAUUUAUUGGGCGUAAAGAGCUCGUAGGCGGCUCGUCGCGUCGACCGUGAAAACCCGCGGCUUAACUGCGGGCUUGCGGUUGAUACGGGCGGGCUAGAGUUCGGUAGGGGAGACUGGAAUUCCUGGUGUAGCGGUGAAAUGCGCAGAUAUCAGGAGGAACACCGGUGGCGAAGGCGGGUCUCUGGGCCGAUACUGACGCUGAGGCGCGAAAGCAUGGGGAGCGAACAGG
rnacentral:rRNA from 1 species